AUCAGUUCCGUUGCAUGUAAAACCGCAUGUCCCCAUGCUGAUACCGGAAGUUGAGACUUCAUAAGCAGUGGCCGGGCUAUCAGCUGGAUACGUGUAAUGAAGGAUUCGGCCAAGCCGUUCUGUGUAUGGACAUGUGCCACGGAGUGUUCUACUCUUACCCCCAUGGACAUACAAUAUUCAUUAAACGCUUGGGACGUGAACUCACCAGCAUUGUCUAGACGUAUAGUCUUAAGAGGGAAAUCUGGAAAGUGUGCUCUCAGUCUUAUCAUCUGAGCAAGUAGCCGUGCAAAGGCUAGGUUUCUAGUGGAUAGUAGACAGACAUGCCACCAUCUGGUCGAUGCAUCAAUGAGGACCAUAAAGUAUCUAAACGUCCCACAAGGUGGGUGUAUUGGUCCACAUAUGUCUCCUUGAAUCCUUUCCAGAAAGUUUAAGGUUUCUUUGUUAACCUUGGCUGGUGAUGGCCUGAUUAUGAGUUUCCCUUGUGCAAAUGCUGCACAUGUGAGAUUUCGUGGGAUCACUCCUUUAAACGUGUGCCCUUGUGAAUUCAUCAUCAGUUUUCGCAUCAUCAGUGUGCCCUUGGGUAUAGGGGCGAAAGACUAAUCGAACCAUCUAGUAGCUGGUUCCCUCCGAAGUUUCCCUCAGGAUAGCUGGAGCUCGGAAACGAGUUCUAUCGGGUAAAGCCAAUGAUUAGGGCAUCGUGGACGCAAUGUUCUCGACUUAUUCUCAAACUUUAAAUUGUAAGGACGGGGUGGCUGCUUUGUGAGACCAUCCCACGGAAUGAGAGCUCCAUUGUGGCCAUUUUUGGUAUGCAGAAUUGGCGAUGCGGGAUGAACCGAAGCCGGGUUACGGUGCCCAACUCGCGCUAACCUAGAACCCAAUAAGGGUGUUGGUCGAUUAAGACAGCAGACGGUGGACAUGGAAGUCAAAUCCGCUAAGAGGUGUAAACAACUCACUGCCGAACAACGUAGCCCAAGAAAUGGAUGGGGCUGAACGCGCGACCGGACCUAUGACGCGCGCCGUCGGGGCAAGAGCAGGCCUCGAUGAGUAGGUGGGCGCGGGCGGUCGCGCUAAACCUAGGGUCGCGAGCCCGGGCGGACGGCCGCUGGUGCAGAUCUUGGUGGUAGUAGAUAAAUUUCAAAUGAGACUUUGAAGGCCGAAGAGGGGAAAGGUUCCUAUGUGAACGGCGCUUGCACAUGGGUUAGUCGGAUCCUAAGAGUGGGAACCUAGUCUGAUAGUGCUUAUGCGUGAACUUCGAAUGGGGAUCCGGUUAAAAUUUCGGAACCGGGAGAUGGCGGUUGACGACAACUGUUAGGGAGUCCCGAGACGUUCGGCGGAAUUCCGAAAGAGUAUCUUUCUGUUUAACAGCCUGCCCACCCUGAAACGGCUCAGCCGGAGGUAGGUUCCAGCGGCUGAAGAGUACUGCACGUCGCGUGGUGUCCGGUGCUAUCCCCGGGGCCUUGAAAAUCCGAGGACCCGAGUGCCGCCUCACGCCCCGGUUGUACCAUAACGCAUCAGGCUCCAAGGUAGAACAGCCUCUGGUCGAUGGAACAAUGUAGGCAAGGGAAGUCGGUCAAAAUGGAUCCUAACUUCGGGAAAAGGAUUGGCUCUGAGGGCUGGGCUCUGGGGUCCCAGUUCCGAGCCUGUCGACUGUUGGCUGGCUGCUGAGCUGCUAACCUUGGCGAGAGCGGCCACCUCGUGUCGGCCGGGGGACGGACUGGGAACGGUCUUUCGGGAGCUUUCCCCGCGGGCGUCGAACAGGCCAACUACAGAACUGGUAACGACAAGGGGAAUCCGACUGUUUAAUAUAACAAAGCAUUGCGAUGGUCCUGCGGAUGCUAACGCAAUGUGAUCUUCUGCCCAGUGCUCUGAAUGUCAAAGUGAAGAAUUCAACCAAGCGCUGGUAAAGGCGGGAGUAACUAUGAUGCUCUUAAGGUAGCCAAAGCCUCGUCAUCUAAUUAUGUGACGUGCAUGAAUGGAUUAACGAGAUUCCCACUGUCCCGUGUCUACUAUCCAGCGAAACCACAGCCAAGGGAACGGGCUUGGCAGAAUCAGCUGAGGAAAGAAGACCCUGUUUAGCUUGACUCUAGUCCGAUUUUUGAAAUGACUUGAGAGGUGUAAAUAAGUGGGAGUUCCGCGGCAAGUGAAAUACCACAUACUUUUAAUUAUUUUACGUUCGACUCCGUGAAUCCAAAGGCGGGGUAAACAACCCCUUCUUUUUAGACCCAAGACUCGCUCUGGCGGGUCGAUCCGGGCGGAGGGCAUUGUCAGAUGGGGAGUUUGGCUGGGGGUGGCACUUCUGUUAAAAGAUAAAGCAGGUGUCCUAAGAAUGAGCUCAACGAAAACAGAAAUCUCGUGUGGUAGCAAAAGGGUAAAAGCUCUGUUGAUUCUGAUUUUCAGACGAAUAUGAACCGUGAAAGCGGCUAUCGAUCUUUAGACCUUCAGAAUUUGAAGAACUAGAUGUCACGCCCCCAAUCCAGAAUAGGAUUGUGGGACGCGAUGUUCGAGGAAACGUGACUAGGCUAGUCUUAGGACAUCAAGCCAAGCGUUCCAUGGUCGAAAAUGAAGGUUAAGAGAUAUAAGAAACUUAGAGCCAUAACCUUAUACAAGCUAAGAGACAGGCUAGGACGAGUAAGGCGGUUCUUGGACGAAGUGGACGAGUAGCUCUGGCCAGCUAAAGAAGCUAUGGUUUCAGUUCAGUCCACUCAUCCCUACUAGUCGUCCACUAGCUGGACUACUAGCUACUCAGGUAGCAGCUGAGAGUCAGCUCAUCUCAGUUAGACGGACUGCCGGCCUUUAGGCCGAUGGUCCCGGGUCUGGU
rnacentral:rRNA from 1 species